rnacentral:rRNA from 1 species
GGUAUCAUCAUUAAAGAUUUAUCGGUGUACGAUGGGGAUGCGUUCCAUUAGGUAGUAGGCGGGGUAACGGCCCACCUAGCCUGCGAUGGAUAGGGGUUCUGAGAGGAAGGUCCCCCACAUUGGAACUGAGACACGGUCCAAACUCCUACGGGAGGCAGCAGUGAGGAAUAUUGGUCAAUGGGCGAGAGCCUGAACCAGCCAAGUAGCGUGAAGGAUGAAGGUCCUACGGAUUGUAAACUUCUUUAUACGGGAAUAAAGCUUCCUACGUGUAGGAUUUUGUAUGUACCGUAUGAAUAAGCAUCGGCUAACUCCGUG